CUGGCCUUUGUUAGUCUUGUAUCAUUUUAACUUUUAGUUUCUUGUGUACAAUUUGGAGUUUAGUAUUGUGUUCAUUAUCACUGAACCAGUAUAUAUUUGUUUAGGGGCCAGCUGAAGGACGUCUCCAGGUACGAGAAUUUCUCGUUGCAUUGAAGACCUGUUGGUGACCUUCUGCUGUUGUCUGCUCUAUGGUCGGGUUGUUGUCUCUUUGGCACAUUCCCCAUUUCCAUUCUCAAUUUUUAAAAAAGUUUAAUAUAAUUUGUUUGAGCAUGUGAGAUAAUUAUUGGAUUGGGAAUUGCACAACUUCGUUUGCUUUUUACAUUUUAAACAAGCAAAAAUUUGAAUCUGAAACAGUUUUGAAUUAUAGAGUCUGAUUCUUCUGAAGUUUUAGCUAAACAUCAACUUAAAGUACAUGAACAGAUG
rnacentral:lncRNA from 1 species